UACGGAGGGUGCGAGCGUUAUCCGGAAUCACUGGGUUUAAAGGGUACGUAGGCGGUUAAUUAAGUCAGCAGUGAAAGACUGUCGCUCAACGACGGAUGUGCUGUUGAUACUGGUUAACUUGAAAUGGGUUAGAGUUGGCGGAAUGGGUCAUGUAGCGGUGAAAUGCUUAGAUAUGACUUGGAACACCGAUAGCGAAGGCAGCUGACUGAACCUUGUUUGACGCUGAGGUACGAAAGUGUGGGUAGCGAACAGGAUUAGAUACCCUGGUAGUCCACACCCUAAACUAUGCAGACUGGAUGUUGGGCGGCAAUAGUUCAGCAUCUGAGGGAAACCAUUAAGUCUGCCACCUGGGGAGUACGCCGGCAACGGUGAA
rnacentral:rRNA from 1 species